CUUCGGAUCGUAAACUCCUGUCAGACGGGACGAAGGCGUGAGGGUAAAUAAUCCUUACGUUUGACGGUACCGUCAGAGGAAGCCCCGGCUAACUCCGUGCCAGCAGCCGCGGUAAUACGGAGGGGGCGAGCGUUAUUCGGAAUUAUUGGGCGUAAAGGGCGCGUAGGCGGCUUGGCAAGUCAAAGGUGAAAUCCCUCGGCUCAACUGAGGAACUGCCUUUGAAACUGCCUGGCUUGAGGCCGGGAGGGGGUAGCGGAAUUCCCAGUGUAGCGGUGAAAUGCGUAGAUAUCGGGAGGAACACCAGUGGCGAAGGCGGCCGACUGGACCUGACCUGACGCUGAGGCGCGAAGGCGUGGGGAGCGAACGGGAUUAGAUACCCCGGUAGUCCACGCAGUAAACGAUGUGCACUAGGUGUCGCGGGUGUUGACCCCUGCGGUGCCGGCGCUAACGCAGUAAGUGCACCGCCUGGGGAGUACGGCCGCAAGGCUAAAACUCAAAGGAAUUGACGGGGCCCCGCACAAGCAGCGGAGCGUGUGGUUUAAUUCGACGCAACGCGAAGAACCUUACCAGGACUUGACAUCCCAGGAAUCCUGCUGAAAGGUGGGAGUGCUCUUCUUACAUCCCGGAUACAGGUGCUGCAUGGCUGUCGUCAGCUCGU
rnacentral:rRNA from 1 species